CAGGAAGCCGGUGUGAAUCCGGCGCGGUCCCGCCACUGUUACCGGGGAGUCGACCUCAGCGGAAGGUCACGGCGGCCGUAGGCCGCUGGAAGGCCGAGGUUCGAUGCCGAUCCGGGUAGCCAGGAUACUG
rnacentral:ncRNA from 2 species